UGCCUUAGUACGGCGUAGUGAAGCGGCAAUAGCUCAAAUUUGAAAUCUGGCUCUUUUAGGGUCCGAGUUGUAAUUUGUAGAGGAUGUUUCGGACAAGGCUUGGGUCUAAGUUCCUUGGAACAGGACGUCAUAGAGGGUGAGAAUCCCGUCUUGGUCCCUAUGCCGCGUCCAUGUGAAACUCCUUCGACGAGUCGAGUUGUUUGGGAAUGCAGCUCAAAAUGGGAGGUAAAUUUCUUCUAAAGCUAAAUAUUGGCCAGAGACCGAUAGCGCACAAGUAGAGUGAUCGAAAGAUGAAAAGCACUUUGAAAAGAGAGUUAAACAGUAUGUGAAAUUGUUGAAAGGGAAGCGCUUGCAACCAGACUUGUUUCGAACGGUUCAACCACUGUUUUCAGUGGCCCAUUCCGUUCGUCCAGGCCAGCAUCAGUUUGGGUGGGUAGUUAAAGGCCUUGGGAAUGUAUCUACUCCUUCGGGUGUAGACUUAUAGCCCUCGGUGUAAUGUGCCCUACCUAGACUGAGGUACGCGCAUCUGCUCGGAUGCUGGCGUAAUGGUUGUAAGCGACCCGUCUUGAAACACGGACCAAGGAGUCUAACAUCUAUGCGAGUGUUAGGGUGUCAAACCCUUACGCGGAAUGAAAGUGAACGGAGGUAGGAACCCGUGAGGGUGCACUAUCGACCGAUCCUGAUGUCUUCGGAUGGAUUUGAGUAAGAGCAUAGCUGUUGGGACCCGAAAGAUGGUGAACUAUGCCUAAAUAGGGUGAAGCCAGAGGAAACUCUGGUGGAGGCUCGCAGCGGUUUCUGACGUGCAAAUCGAUCGUCAAAUUUGGGUAUAGGGCGAAAGAC
rnacentral:rRNA from 1 species